UGAUCUUCAUCCAAGUUGUCUAGAGAAGGUCAACAAUGACCAAAAUUGGUAGAGAAUAUAAUCAUACAAAAUUGCAACUACUUAUAUUGACAACCUACUUUUGUACUAAUGAACUUAAAAUGUCAAACAUAAGAUCUUUAUAAACUACAUAUCUUCUUAUCAGUAUGUUGUUAAAACCUGUUAUUUGAAGGGUAAGUUUUUCUACUUUUGUAAGGUAAAGGUAUUGGUAGGAUACUCUAUUAGUUAAGAAAAUUUAGGUAAAGCCCUUCCUUUAAAAGGUAUAUGGCAUACAUAUAGAGCAUGCUUGUAUAAUAUUUUAAUUUAAUAUACUGUGUCCUUUAGCAAUUUUAAAUGGCUUUUUCUUUUCAGUAUAUUUCUUAGAUUUUUCUGUGCAAAUAACAUCUCUUGUGAUUUUGAAUCCUGAGUGGAACAAUUUUUG
rnacentral:lncRNA from 1 species